CCCUUAGAUGUUCUGGGCCGCACGCGCGCUACACUGACGAAUGCAACGAGCUUAUAACCUUGGCCGAAAGGUCUGGGUAAUCUCCAAAUUUCGUCGUGAUGGGGAUAGAUUAUUGCAAUUAUUAAUCUUCAACGAGGAAUGCCUAGUAAGCGCAAGUCAUCAGCUUGCGUUGAUUACGUCCCUGCCCUUUGUACACACCGCCCGUCGCUCCUACCGAUUGAACGGUUUAGUGAGGGCAUCGGACUGGUCUCGGCCCGCCCUUCACCGGUGCGGCGCCGCCGGCCGGGAAGACGCUCGAACUUGAUCGUUUAGAGGAAGUAAAAGUCGUAACA
rnacentral:rRNA from 1 species